rnacentral:rRNA from 1 species
AACGAACGCUGGCGGCAGGCCUAACACAUGCAAGUCGAACGCACCGCAAGGUGAGUGGCGCACGGGUGAGUAACACGUGGGAAUGUAUCCUUUGGUUCGGAAUAACGUCUGGAAACGGACGCUAAUACCGGAUGAGCCCUUAGGGGGAAAGAUUUAUCGCCAAAGGAGCAGCCCGCGUCUGAUUAGGUAGUUGGUGGGGUAAAGGCCUACCAAGCCGACGAUCAGUAGCUGGUCUGAGAGGAUGAUCAGCCACACUGGGACUGAGACACGGCUCAGACUCCUACGGGAGGCAGCAGUGGGGAAUAUUGGACAAUGGGCGCAAGCCUGAUCCAGCCAUGCCGCGUGAGUGAUGAAGGCCUUCGGGUUGUAAAGCUCUUUCGCACACGACGAUGAUGACGGUAGUGUGGGAAGAAGCCCCGGCUAACUUUGUGCCAGCCGCCGCAGUAACAC